rnacentral:rRNA from 1 species
UACGUGGGGGGCAAGCGUUGUUCGGAAUUACUGGGCGUAAAGGGCUCGUAGGCGGCCAGCUAAGUCAGCCGUGAAAUCCCUCGGCUUAACCGGGGAACUGCGUCUGAUACUGGAUGGCUUGAGUUCGGGAGAGGGAUGCGGAAUUCCAGGUGUAGCGGUGAAAUGCGUAGAUAUCGCGAGGAACUCCGGUGGCGAAGGCGAGGUGCUGGACCAUUUCUGACGCUGAGGCGCGAAAGCCAGGGGAGCGAACGGG